UGCCGAUGACAGCAAGUUCCCAGGAGAGGAACAACCAGUUUACAAGUUCCCACUUGAUGAGAAGAUACCUGACUACAAACCCUCGUCUUAUAAUCCACCUGAUUACAAAUCACCAUCUUACAAUCCACCAGGUUACAAGUCACCAUCUUACAAGCCACCUUCCUACAAUCCACCAGUUUAUAAAGCACCAUCUUAUAAUUCACCAGAUUACAAGUCACCUUCUUAUAAUCCACCAAGUUACAAACCACCAGUUUACAACCCACCUUCCUACAAUCCACCAAGUUACAAAACACCAUCUUAUAAUCCACCAGUUUACAAGUCACCUUCCUACAAUCCACCAGGUUACAAAGCACCAUCUUAUAAUCCACCAGCUUACGAGUCACCUUCCUAUAAUCCACCAGGUUACAAAGCACCAUCUUAUAAUCCACCAGCUUACAAGUCACCUUCCUAUAACCCACCAGGUUACAAAGCACCAUCUUAUAAUCCACCAGCUUACCAGCCACCUUCAUACAAUCCACCAGGUUACAAAGCACCAACUUAUAAUCCACCAGCUUACAAGUCCCCUUCCUAUAAUCCACCAAUUUACAAGCCACCUUCCUACAAUCCACCAGGUUACAAAGCACCAUCUUAUAAUCCACCAUCUUACAAGUCACCUUCCUAUAAUCCACCAGUUUAUAAAGCACCAGUUUACAAGUCACCUUCCUACAAUCCACCAGGUUACAAAGCACCAUCUUAUAAUCCACCAGUUUAUAAGCCACCUUCCUAUAAUUCACCUGAUUACAAGCCACCUUCCUACAAUCCACCAGUUUACAAGUCACCUUCUUAUAAUUCACCAGAUUACAAAACACCUGAUUACAAGCCACCUUCCUACAAUCCACCAUAUGGGAAGUCACCUUACCCAAAGUACCCUCCAGGAUCCAAUUGAAGACACCUAGUAAGUUAAGGGGUGUAUUAAGUAUAUGCUAAAUAAGAGGUGUAUCAACAACGAUCGCCAUGCUCAUCAACA
rnacentral:lncRNA from 1 species